rnacentral:rRNA from 1 species
UACGAAGGGGGCUAGCGUUGCUCGGAAUCACUGGGCGUAAAGCGCACGUAGGCGGAUUGCUAAGUCAGGGGUGAAAUCCUGGAGCUCAACUCCAGAACUGCCUUUGAUACUGGAGCUUGAGUCCGGGAGAGGUGAGUGGAACUCCGAGUGUAGAGGUGAAAUUCGUAGAUAUUCGGAAGAACACCAGUGGCGAAGGCGGCUCACUGGCCCGGUACUGACGCUGAGGUGGCGAAAGCGUGGGGAGCAAACAGG